UUACGACCAUAUCACAUUGAAACGCCGUUUCUCGUACGAACGCUAAAGUUAAGCAACGACGAGGCUGUUCAGUACUUAAAUAAGUGAACGCUUGUAAAUACCAGAUGCUGUAAG